rnacentral:rRNA from 1 species
UACGUAGGUGGCGAGCGUUGUCCGGAUUUAUUGGGCGUAAAGCGCGCGCAGGUGGUCCGUUAAGUCCUGUGUGAAAUCUCCCGGCUCACCCGGGAGGGGGCGCGGGAUACUGGGGGACUGGAGGCAGGCAGAGGCCGGUGGAAUUCCCGGUGUAGUGGUGAAAUGCGCAGAUAUCAGGAGGAACACCAAUGGCGAAGGCAGCUCACUGGGACGGUAUUGACGCUGAGACGCGAAAGCGUGGGGAGCAAACAGG